GUAAAAGAAAGGGGGAAAUAAAGAAACCACAGCCUUCAUCUGGCUUUUAGGGAACUUAGGACACAUGGAAGAAAGCGCUUGGAAGGCUAUUGAAAUAUUUACAAAACAAAUCAUUUACGUUUAACUUUUGUAUAUGUAAAACCCGGAGAGCUGCCUACAAAGACAGAGGCAACUUUAGUUAUGAGAUAUUUUGGCAUCAAAAUGGUUAAUAGUAUUAUAGCUUCAAAAGAGCCUAUUGGCUCACCCUCAAGGAUGCCCUGCAGUUGUUGUUAAAGUCAUCACAUGAAGCUAGCCUGCUCAGCUAGCCUUUAGAUUUGUCUGCUAACAGUAAAAAUACUAUAAUAAAUCGGUAACAUAUGUUGCCAGGCAAGGAAAAGUGAUAUAAAUAAAGAGACCAGGAGACCCAAACCAAGUACAAUGUGAAAAGAAUUUAACUUUCAAUCUCUGCGUUGGUUAAUUACCAUUUGAAAAGUCAUUUGAAAGUGUUACUCUUAUUUGCUUAUAUUCUUCCUCAUUUUUUUUUUUUUCUCUUCAGAUUGCAUUCUUACCCAAAUACUCUUCGUGAUGGCCUGCUUUGCGGCUUUGGGAUUCUUUAGGGAAUGGAGAUCAGUUUCAUGGAUGACAUCCCAGUUUUCUCAUCAUCAGAAAAGAAAAAAAUCCUCUGGCCAGUGGAAGAAACAGUCACCAAAACGUGAAACAGCCUGGUGAGACAGCAAUAUUCAACUACGAAAAGACCAACAGCAUUGGUCAUGCCAUAUUGUACCUGUCUUUCGGUGUUCCUGCUGCCCACAGGCCUGGAAGCUUCAGACAGACAGGAUCUUGCAUUUUGGCUACUCCUGCACAUGGCCCAGAGUCUGGUAACCAGAAUGAACUUGAGUUGCGGUUAAACAGACAUGCGAAUCCUGCACCCCCACUCCAAGCACUGAGUAUAUCUUCUAGAACCAUAGCCUCUGCCUGGGGGAGGACUGAGCCUGCCCAGCAAGCUCACCGCAAGCUGGGAGAAGCCCAGACUCUGCAGGCACGUGGUUCUGCAGAACGAGCCCUGGAUGGACUCAGGCAGGCACACCCAGUGAUCUCUCCUAGAUUCAACAAUCAGGCCAGCAGCUGGUGUGACACUAAAUCUUCCCAGAGAAACAUAAACCCAGGAAAUGACAGCCUUGUCCCUAGCAUUGGCCUCAAUGCUCAUUGACAUAUCGAAGAAACUAAAGGGUGAAAGGAGGUGAUGGUUAAUUUUAUGCAUCACCUUGGCUGGAUGAUGGUGUCCAGUUAUUUGGUCAAACACUAGUCUAGAUGUUGCUUGAAGGUAGUUUUUAAAGGUGGUUAAAAUUUAACUCAAAAUAUUCCGAGUAAAGCAAAUUGCCCCCCAUGGUAUGGGUGGGUCUUAACCAAUCAGUUGAAGGCCUUAAGCACAAGGACUGAGGUUUCCUGAAGAAGAAAUUCUCCUCAAGACGGCAACAUCGACUCUUACCUGAUUUUCCAACCUGCCUUACAGACUGCAGCCUUGCCAGUCCCACAACUGCAUGAAUCACUUCCUUCUCUCAAUCUCUCUUUCUAUUGUGUGUCUGUGUGUGUAUUCGCCUUCUGGUUCUGUUUCUCUGGAGAACCCUGCCGAUACAACCGACUAUGUUGAAUCUGUAGCAGAAGAGGUAGGGUGAUGGCCAUGAAACCCAUGUUCGAGUUUCUAAUGGGUUCUCUAGGAUGAGGUCUUGGGCUUAUUUAAUGUGUCACAUCACUCUGACUAUCUUGAGAUGCUUGAGUAUCUGAGAUGCUUUAGAUAGUGCCUGAUGGGUCUUAUCAGUGGUGCUACAGAAAAGACGCUCAUGUUACAAGAAAGCUGAAUCAGAUGGCUGCCUGCUAGGGGUACUUCAAACUGUUUUGAGGACACUGACAUUAUCUAAUGCUUCUGUUAAAUAAUUAUAAUGUGAUUCCCCCCC
rnacentral:lncRNA from 1 species